GACGCUUUCCCGGGCGAGACCCGGUAAGGCGGCUCGGCGCACAAUGGCCAAUUUCGCUACUUCGGUAGAACCGGAGGCGGUGACUGCCCACGGGUAGUAUGGAUCGCUCGACGGUCGGGCGAUUUCCCGAAAAUGCAAUUCUCCCUUGAGCCAAACCACGAGUGAAAGAUUUACAAGUCACGGCGAAUGAGAAAAACAGCAAUGAAUCACGAGGAGAGAAAAUGCACGUAGUCCGCAUACAAGGCACGUCUCGACGCUUAUCGAUAUUGGAUCUGUAAUGUAGAGAGUGGAUUCCCAUUUCCCCUCCCACUUCUGAAGUUUGGAUCCUUGGCGUUAAGGUGAUAUAAGAGGGUCAUUCUAUAUAUCAAAAUGCGAAAUUAUUGAUAAAACUUUUUUUCAAACGGUGCACCGAAUCAUUUGAAAACUUCAGCACGUGAUUAUGUUGUAUUCCUCAAACGGGCGAACGGUAACCUGCGUGUCCCUUUAAGGUGAAGUGAAACACGUCGAGGAACUUGAUCAACGUCGAUAAAGAAGAUUUUUCUAAAUGCCUACGUUGCCGACGUUUGUUUUUAUAUUGACAGC